GCGUGAGAGACAGGCCGCGCAUCUGAGCGUUGGACUGUUCGGACGCCCGUCUGCCUGUUUUUCUAUUUUGGUAUUUAGCCUGGUUUGGUGGCCUCCCGGCGAAUUAUUGCGUUCAUUCGGAACAUCGACAAGGCAGCACUGCACUAUUGGACUACGGCAAGCUCACGUCGUCUGGUGGAGCUUCCUGCUGAAACUACUGCUGCUUACCUGGUGCCACAACGCUGGAUGAAUGCACAAAAGGCCCGCGACGAGCAUUUACAAAGAAAAAAAUAAACGUUAAUUUUUCCACA